CAGUCGCCGCGGGAACACGAAGGGGGCUAGCGUUGUUCGGAUUUACUGGGCGUAAAGGGCGCGUAGGCGGGCUGAUAAGUCGGGGGUGAAAUCCCAAGGCUCAACCUUGGAACUGCCUUUGAUACUGUUGGUCUUGAGUCCGGGAGAGGUGAGUGGAACUGCGAGUGUAGAGGUGAAAUUCGUAGAUAUUCGCAAGAACACCAGUGGCGAAGGCGGCUCACUGGCCCGGAACUGACGCUGAGGCGCGAAAGCGUGGGGAGCAAACAGGAUUAGAUACCCCGGUAGUCCCUGUCUCUUAUAA
rnacentral:rRNA from 1 species